GAGGAAGAAGGCUCCCCGCCUACUGCCUAUCACAAGUAGGCAGAGGCAGGCAGAGAGAGAGAGGAGGAAGCAGGCUCCCCACUCAAGCAGAUAGCCCAAUGCUGGACUCAAUCCCAGGACCCUGAGAUCAUGACCCUGAGCGGAAGGCAGAGGCUCAACCCUCCGAGCCACCCAGAGAGAGAGAGGGAGAGCACAAGCAGAAGGAGCAGCAAAGGAAGAGGAAGAAGCAGGCUCCUCACCAAGCAGGGAGCCCGAUAUGGGGCUCAAUCCCGGGACCCC
rnacentral:lncRNA from 1 species